CAUUCAGUUGGGCACUCUAAGGUGACUGCCGGUGACAAACCGGAGGAAGGUGGGGAUGACGUCAAAUCAUCAUGCCCCUUAUGACCUGGGCUACACACGUGCUACAAUGGACAGAACAAAGGGCUGCAAGACCGCAAGGUUUAGCCAAUCCCAUAAAUCUGUUCUCAGUUCGGAUCGCAGUCUGCAACUCGACUGCGUGAAGCUGGAAUCGCUAGUAAUCGCGGAUCAGCAUGCCGCGGUGAAUACGUUCCCGGG
rnacentral:rRNA from 1 species